rnacentral:lncRNA from 1 species
AAAAAAAGUGCAAACAACUGCCAUAUAUAUUUCUAUGUAAAUCUUAUCAAACAAAUCUUUCUUCAUUGACAUAUAAACGAGCAUUUUCACCAUUUUUCGAAUAAGCCAUUGGCUUGAAAGUAGACAAAAUACUAUCCGAAGUAAUCACUUUUUAACCGAUAAUAAUUAAGUCCAAGAUUCCUCCACUCCAUAUUUCUUUAUCACCCAUAUACCAACAUGAAACUCGCUAGCGGUGUUUAAAGAAAGACAUACUCCUAGAAUAUCCAACUCAAUGCUAACAUUCUCGAUCAGAAUAUCUAUUGAUAGUAUCAAUUCAUAAUGAUUCUCAUUCUCAAAACUAAAACCCAUAAUUUUAAAUGAUUU